AUUGAACGCUGGCGGCAUGCUUUACACAUGCAAGUCGAACGGUAACAGGUUAAGCUGACGAGUGGCGAACGGGUGAGUAAUGCAUCGGAACGUGCCCGGUCGUGGGGGAUAACGCAGCGAAAGCUGCGCUAAUACCGCAUACGAUCUGAGGAUGAAAGCGGGGGACCGUAAGGCCUCGCGCGAUCGGAGCGGCCGAUGUCAGAUUAGGUAGUUGGUGGGGUAAAGGCUCACCAAGCCAACGAUCUGUAGCUGGUCUGAGAGGACGACCGGCCACACUGGGACUGAGACACGGCCCAGACUCCUACGGGAGGAAGCAGUGGGGGAUUUUGGACAAUGGGCGAAAGCCUGAUUCAGCAAUGCCGCGUGCAGGAAGAAGGCCUUCGGGUUGUAAACUGCUUUUGUACGGAGCGAAAAGGUCUCCUCUAAUACAGGGGGCUCAUGACGGUACCGUAAGAAUAAGCACCGGCUAACUACGUGCCAGCAGCCGCCGUAA
rnacentral:rRNA from 1 species